rnacentral:lncRNA from 1 species
GGCACCGAAGGGUGUGUGUAAAAGCCUGUCUCCUGUUCCCUCUCAGGACCUUCUUCCUCGGCUGGUGGAAUCCAGGAUAAAGUGGGAUAAAUCCAGGAUAACGCAGAACGUGGCAGAAAGGCCGGCCCGAGGCCAGGACCAGAGCAAGACGGUGUGUAAGUCAGAGGAGAAGGAAUCCCGAAGCAAAGCAUACCUUCGCCGCUUACGUCCCACGUAUUCUGCUUCUCUGGCCAACAUGGACUUCUCCAGGAGAACCCCACACGCUGAGCAUGCCUCACCCCAGGCCACCACGGAUGUUUCCCAUGAAGCGGUUUAACAGACGCCCCGCCCGCCCGACUGGAAGAAUCCUGUAGAUUUCUUGCAGCAAAGGAGUGAGUUUCUGGUUGUUUGCAGGGAGGAGCGUCUCCCUUUUAGGGGCCAAUUCAGCUCCGGCCAUUAGCAUUUGAAUCGGUCUACCAGGCUGUUUUGAUUGAAGAGAGAAACACAGCCUUUGUUGCUGUGAUUUAGGGGCGUAAGUAAUUUUCCAACCCCCUUUAAUCAGUUCACACAGUUG